CAUUUUUGUGAAUGAAAUUCAUCGCCAACCAUUUACCAGUCAACCGUAUAGACAGUGACACAGGCGUUACCGUUCUAGCCAUUCAUAAGAACAGAAAAUUGUUUUCCUUUCUCUAAACUAUAAUCACCGAAGAAGAUCAAAGAAUCAUUCUCAGAGAAAAAAAAAUAAUAAAACAGCGUAAUCCUAUCCAGAAUCAAUGGGAACAGUCAUCGAUUCCCAUUUUCUAGCACUCACUGCCGUCGCCACUGUGGGAUAUCAGUUGCUAUUCUUUAUAAUCACUGCUCUUCUAAAGAUUGAUAAAGUCACAGACUUUGCUGGAAGCACCAAUUUUGUCAUAGUUGCUGUGUUGACUCUGGUUUUGAAAGGGACGUGGCAUUUAAGGCAGGUAGUCUUGAGUUUACUUGUUGUUACAUGGGGUCUUCGCCUGGGAUUGUUCCUAUUAAUGAGGAUACUGCAGUGGGGAGAGGAUAGACGCUUUGAUAAAAUACGUGGUAAUUUGGGGAGAUUAGCAAUUUUCUGGAUAUUUCAGGCUGCCUGGGUUUGGACAGUGAGUUUACCUGUAACAGUGGUAAAUGCAAGUGACAGAAAUCCAUCUCUUCAGGUUGAGGAUAUAAUGGGGUGGAUUAUGUGGUCUGUGGGAGUUUCAAUUGAAGCUGCAGCUGAUCAACAAAAGUUGAAAUUCAAGAACUCCCCAGAAAAUAUAGGAAAAUGGUGCAAUGUUGGACUAUGGAAAUACUCUCGUCACCCAAAUUAUUUUGGCGAGAUUUUCCAUAGUCCAACAUUGCACCAUUUUC
rnacentral:misc_RNA from 1 species